CUUUUUAUCAAAAGCCCUCUUUAACUUUAAAGUGCAGAUUUCGGACCUUUAAGUUGCUAAAGUCUCCUUUAAAGGGUACAUAACCUAUUUUGUUGAGUUAAAAACACAGUUGUUUUUGUAUUUAACUUUUAAGGUUAACAUAAAAAGUCAAUAAUAAUUAUUAUUACUAGGAUUAAUUAAUUGUACUUGAAAAGCACAAUUAUGUAUAAUUUUGAAACGUCUAGUUCAAGAAAUUUAUUGUAUUCAGAAGACCAAAAAUUAACCAGAACAGAUUAAGAACAAACUGUUUUGAACAAUAAUAAUAUGAUGAUCUGGAUUUUUAUCAAAGAUUUAGGUUGAAAACAAACAGUUUUGUGUGCCUUCUUAAUUAGAAAACCAAAUAACUUUGCCUACUAUUAGAGGUGGAUGCAUUACUGCCAUGCAACAAAUUCUGUGGGAUUUUAUGCAUCAGGAAGUAUGCAAUUAAAUGUAGCUGAUUUUACAGCAGUGUCCAGAGGUUCAGCAAGUAGAAUUAUAAAAAUAGUAUCCUUUAAAAUUGCAAGAAUCAUCAAGAGAUGGAAAGCUGUUGAAGAUUUUUACAAGAUUGCUGUAUUCCCUAGAAUAAUGAGUGCAAUGGGUUAUACUUUAAUUAAAAUAGAUUCUGCAGGUGUCCAGGAUGCAGAAAUUUUCAGGUACAGAAAAUCAUUUUUUGCAUUGAAUGUUCAGUCAGUGAUGCAAAAUUUAAAAUUAGAGAUAUUGUUGAACUGUGGCCAUCAAAUAAGACAUUUUUAAUAAUAAUGGGCUGAAGCAUAAUUCAGGGGCUUAGAAUCACACAAACUUGUUUUAUUUUCGUCUACAGAAAUAUUAGGGUUACAGUAACUGAACGUUAUAAUAUGUACAGUCAGAAAAAUGAAAGAAUACCCAUGAACGAACAUAUAAAACACGCUGUAUUUUCCUGUCACCGUGUCACAAAGAAAAUUGCCCAGCGCAAGUACAUGUAACAAUAAUUAUUACAUCUACUUGCGCUGGCCAGUUUUUUGAGUGACUCGGUGACAGGAAAAUACAGCGUGUUUUAUAUGUUCGUUUAUGGGUAUUCUUUCAUUUUUCCUACUUGUACCUAGGUAUGCAUGUGCUAAUCCCCUGAAUUUUGAAAGUGGUAUCUUUGGUCAUUACAUAUUGGUUGGUGACAGUGACGAACAAGGAAUGUAGUAGAACAGCAAUAUGGGUUGUGGAAAUGAAGAUUUCCUAUACUCCGCUUAGGAACGAGACUACAAUUAGAAAACAUGACUGUGAUUGUUGCAACUAGAGUGCUUCAUAAUAUUGCCAUUGAUAUGGAUGAUAAUUUUCCUGUGAAUAAAACUGAAGAUGAAGCAAACGAUGAAUAAUUACAACCGAUAAAAAAUAACGAAAAUAUUUCAGAAAACAAUAUAACUGUGUUAAUAAAUGAAAACUUUGGUAGAUUGUAAAUAUAUUUAUUAAUAAAAGCAAAAUGAAUGUA
rnacentral:lncRNA from 1 species